CCUUCUUUGUAUUUGAGAUCAUUCGUUGCUAAAAGAUUUUUCGAGUGCAACGAUUGUGUGUGGAGUUGAGAAUUGUAGGCUUUUGUUACAUUAUUCGUAUGUUAAUUAGUUUGUGGACGUGAUGGGUUGCACAAGAUAUCUAGAGGUGUAAUUUUUAUAUUUAGUUGUUUGUUCUAUUGGAUUGUUUUUUUAUUUGUCUAUUCUUUAAUUUUUAGGUUAACUUUGUGGAUAUAUUUUGGAUUUUUUCUUUCUAGUGGGCAUUUCAAUUGGCCAAUUGUAAUUUUUUUUUGCCGCAUUUUGGAUUUGGUGAUCAAGUCAAGAGAUCAUUAUUUAUUUAUUUUUUUUUUGAAAAAAACCAUAUUGAUUAAUUGUCUUUUUUAUAUUUAGGUGUUGAGACACAAAGCUCUUGACCUUCUCAAGCCUAAACUCUCUCUUAUAAAUAAAUAAGGAACAUUGAGCUUUGUGGUCUAUGAAGUGGUUGCUAAAGUUGUUAUGGGAAAAAAAUAUUACUGGUCUUGGAGUGGAAAAUUCUCAAAGAGAGGAAGAGAAGAAGUAGCUGUAGAGGCAGCCACUGUUGUUAGUCUAAAAGUUACAAGAGGCAGUCUGAUUGUUGUUGAAGAGAAGGAGGUGUGUUAUAAGCUGACUCAAAAUCAAGAGACUCCAAAUAGCAGAGUUAAUCAAACACUCAAACAUAGUUAAUCGCCAUAUACUUAUUAUGAUCACUGAAGCUAUAUGAUUAUAUGUAUAUAAGUUUAUUAUCCAAAGAGCAUAAUUUCAACUAUAUUCGGUUUUGUCAUAUGUCUUAUUUUUUAAUUAUGUCA